rnacentral:tRNA from 1 species
GUGAGCAUAGCUCAGUUGGUAGGGCAAUGCAUUAUUAUAUGCAGGGGCCGGGAUUCGAACCCCGAACACCCC